CAGACCUUUCACAGGGGCCGUUCCGGGGCGGAAUCCAGUUCCGUGCCUUUCAUCUCUCCCCCACCUUUCCCCUAACGUCUAGGAGUAGACAGACCCGAUUACUUUCACAACCACCAGAGGGCGCAGCGAUGACGGCGGUUGAAAGGAGAACCGACAAAACGACUUCUCUUUGCGGCUGGCUUCGGUCUUGGAAACAGGCAAAGCUUGAAUCCACGUAGGGCAGAGUGGAAAUCUGGUAGCUUUGGUCACCGUGCGCGACCUCUUCAUCACCUUUAUUCCAAGUGCAGUCAGAUUCGGUCGCAACAGAACUCAGGGCCUCGCGGUGCCGGUUACGCCUCGGCCUCAUGCCAGCCCUUCAAACGUGUGCAGGCGAAGAAUGUUCGGGAAAGGCUUCCAGAAAUGUGAAUUCUAAUGGGGGUUCCUUUAUAAUGGGAAGAUGGCCAUUUGGCCACAGCAGAAAGCAGGGCUGGGGAAAACAGGGUGCGCACCAGGACUGUUUAGGGCUAGGCUCCCGAAGGUGGGGCUCUGCCCUUGGCGCUGACAUUAGUUGGGGCUGUCAUCUUCGGAAUGUGGCCUCAGAGGUCUCCACAGGCGGGACAGACAUUGGAGGGUCACACCAAGAAAUGUAUUCAUGUGUGCCAGACCCGGAGGCAGCACACACCGUUUUCCAUUUGUCUGAACGAGAUCAGUUGGUCCUAAUCUAUCUGGUGGGGGGGGCUGGGGAAUGUGGUUUAGUCCUGUGCCCAAGAAGAAGAGAAAACGGACGUUGUGAGCACUGUCUUUCUGUCACAUCUCCCUCUCAAGAGAGAUUGCGGUAAGGAUGAAAUGAAAUAAUAUCCGUCAGGGUGUUUUACCCGGACAGGGAGAUGCCUUACGCCUGGAAGAAAGGCCCUGCAAGAGCGAGAUUGCAGAUGAGGUUGUAUCUGAACAGGGCCGAGGAUGGUCCAUUUAAGGCUCUGCCCUAGGGCGUGGACUGAGGAACAGGGGAAAGGAGACCGAAGGGGCUGUACUGGUCUUCCCGAACUCAUGUGAGUCUUUCACUCUCUGACUCACACAUUUAGUUCCCGCAUUCAUUCAUUCAGUCACUCAUUUCCUCUUCACAAAUUGUUGUACCUGCCCUGCCCCAUGGGGCCCGCUGGUCUAUACAAUAAACGAUGCCACUUCAAGGAUUCAGCGUUGGCCUUUGUGUUGGCACACUGGGCAAUCAGCAAUCACAAGGAAGUCAGCCUUGGGAAAGGGAGCCCCUGGUUUUGGACCCUUGUGUAACCUACAUCCUUGGCACUUUGACCCCUCUGUUCACAGACACAUUGAACAAACACUGAGAUAUCUGAGGACAGAGGUUGGGUGACACGCUGGAGAUGGGCCAUCCUUUGUAGCUGCUGAUUAACACCCCCCCCCCCCCACCCCGUGGGUACAUGCCCUCAGGCACUAACGUGAGACCCAAAGGGUCACGCAUGCACUUGGGUACGCGUGUCCACUGGUCCAUCCCCAGAUUUCCUUGUCUCUGAUUUUCCACUCUGUUCCUUCCAGGCCCCUGGCAGCUAGCCAGGCCAUCUAACACCGCAAAGACGGUAGUACAUCUAUGCCUCAGGCCACCAUUCUGCCCACAUAAAGUGGGCGACCAAGUGCACUGGUUCCAGCUUGCUCCACUAGAAGAACUACAUUUUACUGUCACCUUUAAGGGGCUUCUCUUAAUUUGGGCAACAAUACAGGGGCAAUCCUAUUCUGUGAACCAACACGGAGUUCAGUAAGGAAGAGGGUACCUACACGGUAUCUAUAAGUAGGGAUUGAGGGAGAGUCAACAGUGUGGCAGAGGUAAGUGAAAUGAGAGCCCAGGUGGCUGUUUAUAUCAUUCACUUCACCGUUCGGAAUGUGCUAAAGCCUACACUCAAAUAUACCACUUCCAUUGCAUGAUCGAUUGCUGGCGUGUAUGUCCAAACUUAUGUCUUUGUAGAUUAGAUAACAGCCCAGUUCACAAGGGGAAAUCAGACUGAAUAGUAACGGGGUGUCUCGUGGUUGGCUACCGAGUCUCGGUUAGGGUCCAGUAGCUGCUUCUCAAACAGUAUAGAUCUCUACCGUAAUGCAUGGCCUCGUUCCAGAAUCUGUAGGCUCUGUGCUAUGUCUCUUCUAUUGAGGACCGCACAUCUUUAUCCAGCGCAGAUACCCCAAGGCAUCUUUAGAUCUGUUGGUCCCAUGGCCCAGGCAACAGAGAGCUUGGAACCACAACUUGGACUUGCUCCCCAUUCAAAACUGGUGGUUUUCUGAGUCAUCAGAGAAAUGGAACAGAAGUUUAGACUACAUUGCCUUCAAAAUCCAGAGACACUCCCAGGCAUUCUGCCUCUGCCCUAGUGCUAUAAGAUGCAGAGUGCAGCAGCUUGUUCUUUCCCUUGGGGGGAUAUCCCCACACAUCCCAGACAAGUGCAACGCUAUAAAACUCACCAAUGUGGCAUGCUUCUGCCUCUUUGUGGAGUUUAUCUCCUACUUUCUCCCAUGCAGGUGUCUCAGUGCGUUUGGGAUACUUGCCAAUUCCUGCUCACCGGUUCCAAUUACCAUAGUGUCACCAAUACAGUGGAUCAGCAUGAUGUUCUGCUAUAUCAUGACAGAAAGCAAGAGAGUUAACAUAGCCCCGAGGCAAGACAGUGAGACACAAUAAUCUAUUAAUUUACUGCCAUGGAUCCCUCUGGAUCAAGAAACCCUGACUAUCACUUCAACUUCCUGCCUAUCAAGCAAUCAUGUUCAUUGGGCCUCUGAAAGCCCCCACUGAACUUCUCCAAAAUGCUCAUCUCUUCGUCGUCAGUGUGAUUUUUUACUGACUUAGAAAAGACUCUGUCAUCUGAGUGAUAGGUUCUUGGACCAUACACGGUAGACCCACGUUUAAUGUUCCCACUUCCCUAAGUCUUCUGAUCUCUUCUUUAACACGAUGCCAAGGUGAUUCUGGCAUCUCAUUCUGGUCACUGUGUCCCCUUGUGGAGUCCAGGCUUCAAAUAGCCAGCCCCGCGAGUUACACAGGUGUUUCUUGACACAAAGUAAAGUGCGAAUCAUAAAUGAAUUA